rnacentral:rRNA from 1 species
CGCAUCUGUGCAUGCAGCAUAUCAAUAAGCGGAGGAAAAGAAACUAACAAGGAUUCCCCUAGUAACGGCGAGUGAAGCGGGAAGAGCUCAAAUUUGAAAUCUUAAAGGGUUUCCCUUUACGAAUUGUAGUUUAAAGAAGUGUUUUCUGUUGAGGUUUUGGUAAAAGUUCUUUGGAAUAGGACAUCAUAGAGGGUGAGAAUCCCGUAUUUGACCUUUACUUUCAACUUUGUGAUACACUUUCAAAGAGUCGGAUUGUUUGGGAAUGCAGUCCAAAAUGGGUGGUAAAUUUCAUCUAAAGCUAAAUAUUGGCGAGAGACCGAUAGCGAACAAGUACCGUGAGGGAAAGAUGAAAAGAACUUUGUAAAGAGAGGUUAAACAGUACGUGAAAUUGUCAAAAGGGAAGCGUUUGACACCAGUGUUGUUUUUCUGAAAAUCAAUUAAAGAACUGUUUAUGCUAAGUUGUUUAGACUUUAUCAGCUAACUGUUUAGUUUUGAGCUUUUCUUUAAUGCACUUUUCAGUUAACAAGUCAACAUCAAUUUCUUUUGCUGUAAAAAAGCUUGAGGAAGGUGGCUUGAGAUUCGUCUUAAGUGUUUAUAGCCUCUUGCCUAUGCAGUCGGAGAGAUUGAGGUCUGCAGCGUAGAUCCUUCGGGGCUAAAUGCAUUUGUGCUAAGUUAUAACAUUUUAUAGACAACUUGUUGACUAUGAUUUGUCUUGUAGCUUACUCGCUUAUGUUAUUUUACCUACGCUUAGGAUGUUGACAGCAGUAUAGACUGU